GCCUCUGUAGCUCAGUGGAUAGAGCACCGAGUUUCUACCUCGGGUGCCGGGAGUUCGAUCCUCUCCAGGGGCA
rnacentral:tRNA from 1 species